UAUUCAGCGGGCAGGGGUGGGGGUGGGGGAAUGUAGCUCUGGAACUCCCUUUAGAUCAGGUUAGCCUCCCAAGAUCUGCCUGCCUCUGACUCUGGGAUUAAAGGGUCUACAAAUUAAUUUUACUAAUUGAAGCUAAAAAUCGUGGUCUGGAGAGAGUUCAGCAGUUGAGAGCACUUACUACUGUUGCAGAAAACCUAGUUUGAUUCCCAGCACCCAUGCACUGUAGCUCACAAGUUUCUGUAACUCCAGCUCCAGGAGAUCCAGUGCCCUCUUCUGGCUACCUUGAACACUGCACACAUGGUACGCAUACAGAGAAAUAGUCAUAUUCACAAAAUAAAAAUAAGUCUCUUUUUUAAG